rnacentral:lncRNA from 1 species
UUUUCCGGGCUACGCCCGGAUUUUUUCUAUAAUAUUAAUUUAAUUUUUAUAUUUAUAUUUAAAAACGAACAAAUAUGAUAUACACUGAAACUUGUUAUAGAAUUAUAAACAUAAAUGCAAAUUUAAAACUAUUUGAAAUAAUUUAUUGUGUUUUAUUGGUGUUUUAUGUUGGAUAUUAGUAAGAUCUGUAUAUAUAUAUUCUUUAUCUUGGUUAUUUCUUUUUAUGUAAAACAAUUGUACAGCUUAUAAUUAGUACUGUAUAAAUUUUGAUUGGUUUUAAAAUUAUUAAGUUUCAUUUUUGUACUUGUCUUUAAAAGAAAGUACCACCGAUUUGUAUACCGUUUCUUUAUUUGUUGUCUUCAAUUUAUCGUUUUAACCAAAACAAUUUUGUCAACCAUCUUAACCAAAAUUUAAAUUAACAUUUAUUGUUGCUAUUUAAUUUCUUUGUUUUUUUAAAGUUUGUUUGUGAUAGAAAGAAAUUUUGCUUCAUGAUUUGAAAUAUUUUUAGUUGUAUUUUUUUUUUUGACAGCUUUUUUUAGUUGUAAAUUUAUAGAAGGUUUACUUUCUUACCGUUGUUGAUGUAAUAUUAAUUUAACAGUUUCUUGUUUUAAUUAUUUAAUUAAUCAGAUUUUUUGGAAAUAAUUUUGAAUAUUAAUACUAUUAUUUUUCUGUUUGCUGGGUAGCAUUUGUGUGCUCGGUCAUCCCUUUAUACAAGGCUGAGAUACUUGCUCAAACAUGGUCUUGAAUGACCUUUCGAAAACAGGUAUGAGUGAGGACUUCAAACCUAACUUAAAAGCUUUCUGAAAUUUAUAAAUGGUAGAUAUAUACAAAAAUUAUCACUGUAUGAGGUCUGGAAUUAUGUUUUAAAUCAAAAAUUCUAAAGAACUCUUAACUUAAAUUUGAUUUAACACAUUGCAAGACAUUUUGUGUGUUUCUAAAAAUAAUUUAUAUACAAAAACGGUUUAAGAAUUCUAACUCCUACGGUUUGAUCAUGGCCUACAAUCUGAGUUGCAAACCUACAAACUGCAUUAUUAUUAUUCUCGUAUUUGCCUCACUUCUUCUUUUGUGUUUCAUGACUUUUUUUUUAGGUUCCAUGACCUUUGUCUAUGAUGCUUUGAUAGUAUUGUGUACAAACUCAAUAUUAAAUUUUACUUUAGUUAUACACAUUCUAAGUUAUUAUCCAGGCUACACAUGUUUAUAUUAAUAAUUUGUUUAUAAUAAUUUUAAAAUUAUCAAAAUAGAAGAUCGUUUUUAAAAUUGUAACCUUUUAAUUAACUACCAUUUUCUAUUUUUGGAUAUAUAUACACAUAAAUUGUGUUUUAAAUAUACUUUUCAUAUGUAAUACACAUUAUGUAAAUAUUUUUUUUGUAUAUGUAAUCUUAUGAUAUAAUAUUUUAUAAUCACAUUUAAUAUGAGUAACAUAUACUAAUUAUUGAAUAAAAUUAAAUUGCAUCUUUUUCCGCAAAACAAUUACUGUUUAAAUAAAAUAUGUUCUAUAAAUAAUUAAAUAUUGAAUAAUUUGAACACUAAUUGUUUUUGUUACAGGAUAUUAUUAUUAGCAUAUUGUUUACAGUUCCAUAAUCUUAAUAUAUGACUGCUGCUACUGAUGUUUAGAAGGACUAUGCUUUUGAUUUGAAAUUGCAAAAUUCUUGAUCCAUUGGUUAUAACAAAUUUGGUUUAGUGUCCUAAACUUUUGAGAGUUCCAAAUUUGGUUUAGUGUCCUAAACUUUUGAGAGUUCCAAAGAUGUGGACGUGGACACUCUAGAUGCUAUAGCUCAAUCCCUUUUCUAUAUUGGGAUUAUUAUCGAGCAGAGUAGCUAACAUUAAACUCUCGAGCUUCCAAUUGUACUUAAACUCUUAAUUUGCACAUGAUAGUAUAUAUAAGAAUAAGAUCAUCAAGAGUAGAAUCGAAGGAGUAUAAGCAGCAUAAGAUUGUGUAGACCUUAUAAACACAGCACCCAUGUGACCUGAGAUAAAGGAACAUAGAGGACAACGGGCUCACCAAGUUCCUUAAGUGGCACAUGCCUUAAUUUUUUUUUAUCAGCACCAUUAACAUCAGUCGGUAAAUCUACGUUGAAGUUUGCAUCCUAUUGUCUUCUACUAUCAGGAAGAAUUGUUCACGUAUAUGAUGGAAGAAUGGCUGUUUAGAGUAGAUUUCUGACAAUAUAUUUUAGAAACUCUCAGGAGCUAACCUUCUGGUAAGCUUUGACCAUAACUUCUCUCACUUCUUUCAAGGGUUUUACUUGAUUCUGCAGAGACCAGACCACAGUCACAUCAUAUACAUAAAGUGAUUAUUACAUAAUUAUUAAAACUGAUAUUUACUCAUGCAACUGCACCUGUAUAUCAGUAAUAGCACGAUUAGCUUGAAGCUGAAAGAAAGAAUUGCUGAGAAGAUUCUUAAUAUUACCAUUUUCACUCCACAACUGAUUUAGAAGCAUGUUAUAAUAGCUCAAAUGGAAGACCCUUAAGAAUAUAAGAAACAAAACAGUCUAGGUCGAUCAGUGGGUUAAUCAUUUUACAUCUUAUGGAUAUAAUAUAUACUAUCAGAUACUUACUAAUGAACAUAAACAAAAAAAGUUAUCACUUCCUUUGAGAAUCGUAGCAACAGUGGGUUCCACCUUCUCAUUAUCAGGAUUAUAAUACUACACAAACAAAUUGAGAGUCAUUUUUUCUACAAUUUUGAUAGAAUAAGCAAAACGUGUUUUGGACAGGAAGCUAAAACCUUCGUUCUCAAAAAUGAGAUGUGGCUUUUAGCCUUGCCUCAAUCUUGUUCCACUUUUGAAGAACCCCGCGAGCACCCUGUUAAUUUGUAUUGAGAAAAGCUAUUGAGCCAACCAAUCCAAACAAAAGUCAGAGAAAAAGAGUUGCAUAAAGAGCAAGAAAGUGUUUGUGAAUGUACUACUUACACUUUCUUCGAUGAUGACAGAGCCUUUUAAGUUUUUUUUUUCUCGAGAAAGGGACGGCUCUGCAUAAAUAUCCAUGCUUCUGUAGCACAAAGCUGCUUGAAGUGUUUCAUGAUCAUAUGGUGAGAUAUGACGCUAAGCCGAGGGAAACCACAUAGCAGCGCAAGCUGGAACACAUCAAGUACAUUCUCAGUGUUACGCAAACCAUGUUGUAAAAGACAUCCACAGAGCAUUUCAGCUGACGAACCACGUACGCAUCACGGAGACAGCAAAUUCAUCAAAAAAAAAAGUCAGCUUUAAUCUUUACUAAGAGAAUGUUAGAAGAAGUGAAGCAAUAUUUUGUACUAAGAGUAAUGGAAACAAAUAAAAACGCAUACCACAAAUUGGUUGAGACUGUAUGCAACUUGCCAUGUCUUUUGGCUUACUUUUGAUAUCACAGUCGAUCCCUGUUAAUUUAAAAACAUAAAAGAGACAGAUUUAGUUUGUAUUCGGUUAAUGAAAGAUCUGAACUACCCAACGAAUAAGUUUUAUAAGUAGGGCUUUACAAUAGUAUUUGCACGAAUUUUUAAAGACGAAGAUAGCAAUAUGAAUUUGAAGAGGUAUUCUAGAGGCUGUACGAACUUGAAUAAGAGAUGAAGAAGGUGGGUUAAGCUGAAAUUAAGAUAUGAAUAAAUAAAGGAUUGGAUGAUUGAGAGUAAAUACUUAAUUGUUAUAACUUCAACGAAACAGAGAGUUGCAGAAAUCAAUCGGCAACACCAUGGAGAAGUGGAAGAGGCAAAAAGAUAUCGACGGUCAUUGGGUGAAGAAAGAGAGUUGGGCUUAUGGCUACAACAAAAUAUUAACAGGCCAUAUUCAGCCCGUGUAAAUUUUAUGCUGCGUAAAGGAACGUAUAUGUGGCAAAUAAAAGCUUUUUCAUUGGCCUGAAUAAAAAAUCUGACGUGGCACGCUGUAUGCUCUGC